CUAGUAACUAGGAAGUGACUGAGAAGGCAAAGGUAUGGACAAGGUAUUUGGGGAGCAUUCCCAUCACCACAAACACAUGUGAGACUGCAUGCCAGAGCCAGUACUGAACCCAGGGCACAGCCUUUGACACCAACAACGUGAGCUCUGAUCUCAGAAGGUGGCAGGAACCAAGUGGGUGAUUAAAACAUCACAGACCUCAGGAGUAGAGGCUGAAGCAAUGCAGUGCAGGUGAGAAACCUCCACCACAAAUCUCAAUAAACCCAAGAGCCAGAAGACUGCACAAGUAGGAGGACAAGGAGGUCGGCAUAGGUCCCCCCUUUCAGCCUCCCUCCCCCCAAAUCUCAUGCAGUCACUCACAAGAACACUAGUGUUCAACUGUUGCAACAACAAGCAUCAGGCCAGGUGAAGGACAUCAGCCACCACAGCAAUGUGCUGGAGAAUGUGACGGAGAUGUCGACCCCGAGAGCAACAACAGCAAGAGGUCAUCCGAACCAGUCAACAAACAUCACUGCAUCUCCGAGAUGGCCCUGCCCAUCAUGGGGUGUGGACUCCACUCAUCCCAGCAAGUACAGUAGGAACCUCUUUCCCUCCAUGAGAACCUGCUCCCUGCCUUGCCAAGACCUGCCCACUGCAACUGAAAUAAAAUGCUGUUUGUUUGUUUAAUACAGA